rnacentral:rRNA from 1 species
GAUGAACGCUGGCGGCGUGCCUAAUACAUGCAAGUCGAACGCACUAUUUCGGUAGUGAGUGGCGAACGGGUGAGUAACACGUAGGUAACCUGCCCUUAAGACGAGGAUAACCGUUGGAAACGAUGGCUAAGACUGGAUAGGAACAUUGAAGGCAUCUUUGAUGUUUUAAAAGACCUAGCAAUAGGUAUGCUUAAGGAGGGACCUGCGGCGCAUUAGUUAGUUGGUGAGGUAGUGGCUUACCAAGGCUACGACGGGUAGGGGGCCUGAGAGGGUGGCCCCCCACAAUGGAACUGAAACACGGUCCAUACACCUACGGGUGGCUG